CCAGGCUCCAGCUGCUGCUGAUGUCACUGGUGUGCGUGUGUGUGUUUGUGUGUGUGUGUGUUACAGUGUGUGAGGGUGCAGUACCCCCCCCCGCCCAAGCUGUAUCCUAUUGUGCCUAUGAAUAGACUUUGCACUGUUUUGUAAAUGGGUGCAGGCGGGGGGGGGGGGGGGGGGCACUUGAGGACAGAGGAAUUCUCAACAAGGAAGUGGGUGGGGCCAGACCUGGAAAACGAGGAAGUGGGUACUCUGCCCCCCCACCACUUGAGAACAUUCUUUAUAUCCGACUAAACAAACUUUAAUGGCACCUUAAGUCAAACUGACCAAAGAUAACAUGACCUGUCACUGCCCCCCCCCUUAAAAAAAUCCCUACACACACCUGUCAUUAGCACCGCCUCUUCUGUGUCCUCACCUGCACUGCCCCCCCCCCCCCCCCCCUCAGCUUCCUGAACUGCCGUAAAGCAGAAACUUUGUAGAUGUUUUUGUGUGUAAAUAUUGGGGGGGGGGCGUAGUGGGCCUCUUUCAUGUUGAAGCCCCCCCACGUCUGUCUGGACGUUAAAAAAAACAAGCUUUGCACUGCGGUUUCUGCAACCAAGCACCUUUGGGACGCUUCAGACCCUCAAAGGGGAGGAGCCACCCAAGCCCCGCCUCCUGUAAGACCAAGGACACUUGUGUGUUGACAGUUGACAUCCUAGUAAUGACCUUUAACUUCUGCUUGGGGGAUCAGGGGGUCACACCGCCUAACCAAAGUCAACUUGUUCCAAACGGAGGGGGCGUGGUCAGUCACAGCCCCGCCCCACUGAUAUGAGCUCCUCCCAUCUUGGACAAGAAACCAAAACCGUUUCAGCUUCAUGAAGAUGUCUCUGAGAGCAUCCUGGGGGGGGGGGGGGGGACGCUGGGUCCAGAGCUUCAACCGGACUGAGGCUUACAUCAUCCUCUGCCCUGGGGGGCCGGGGGGGUCUGGAGUGUCCCUUGCUGGACUCUUGAUCAGAUUUCCCAGAAAGCUUUGAGGCAGGAAGUAGUCGGUCACCUUCGAAACUCUUCGGUUGUCAGCGGCGCUGCUCCUUCAUCCCAUCACCGUCUUCCAGGGCGGGAGCACAGAUAAGCCCCACCCCCCUCCCUGAGGACAUCAGUGACUAAACAUGGGACACCGAUGGACCCCCCCCCCUCCCACUAGUGCCUUCCCCCCCAGUGGGUUUGUUUGGGGGGGGGGGGGGGCUGCAUCUCGAGUCGGGAACCAGAACCAGAUCCUGGUUUGGAACCAAAGCCGGGUUUUCCUGAUCCUGACACCCCCCCCCCCAUCUCUGUCCUUUAACACUUGUUCAUGUAGAAACUCUAACCUUUAAGAAACUGUGGGGGGGGUCAUAAGUGCCGUACAGACAGCUGCCUGAUAUUUGGUCUGAUGGUUUCUAUGAUCUAUAUUUGAAUAUUUAUACGCAGCUGUUGGUCUAAAGUAUAUUUUUAAAAUAAAAACGUGUUGAUUAGA